CAAAGUGCUUUUCACAAGUGCCAGACUGCUUUUUUACAGUGAACUAAUCUGCAGAGUGCUUUCAGAAAAUGCCGGAGUGAUUUUCAGUUUUGCUGGGGCACGUUUCAUAAAUGUCGGACUAUGAUCUCCGGAGUCAGUUAAAAAAAUGCCGGAUCCAUGAAAAAUGCUCCAAGUUCUUGGUUUGUUCCUUCAUCUUUGUUUGCUAUAAAUAUUGGGUUUCUUUCA
rnacentral:lncRNA from 1 species